rnacentral:rRNA from 1 species
AGCAGCCGCGGUAAUUCCAGCUCCAAUAGCGUAUAUUAAAGUUGUUGCAGUUAAAAAGCUCGUAGUUGAAUUUCGAGACCGGUUUAUUGGUCGUGCUUUUGUACGUACUGGUAUUAUUGGUUUCUCCUUUCUGACGAAUCUUAAUGCCAUUAAUUUGGUGUUUUGGGGAAUCAGGACUGUUACUUUGGAAAAAUUAGAGUGUUUAAAGCAGGCUCACGCUUGAAUACAUUAGCAUGGAAUAACGGAAUAGGACGUUUGAUUCUAUUUUGUUGGUUUCUAGGAUCGACGUAAUGAUUAAUAGGGAUAGUUGGGGGCAUUAGUAUUCAAUUGUCAGAGGUGAAAUUCUUGGAUUUAUUGAAGACUAACUACUGCGAAAGCAUUUGCCAAGGAUGUUUUCAUUAAUCAAGAACGAAAGUUAGGGGAUCGAAGGCGAUCAGAUACCGUCGUAGUCUUAACCAUAAACUAUGCCGACUAGGGAUCGGAUGAUGUUAAUUUUUUAAUGACUCA